GCGAGAGUGGCGGAACUGGCAGACGCGCUAGACUUAGGAUCUAGUGCCUCGCGGCGUGGGGGUUCGAGUCCCCCCUCUCGCACCA
rnacentral:tRNA from 1 species